rnacentral:rRNA from 1 species
GCGGGUACAUACGUGGUGGGUAGCAAGACUUUUGUUCGGACAUUAUUGGAGACGUAAAGUCAGCGUGUAGAGCGGUCUGAUUAGUCAUGAUGUGAAAGCCCUGGGCUCAACACCAGGAAGUGCAUUGGAUACUGUCAGACUUGAAUACGGGAGAGGGUAGUGGAAUUCCUAGUGUAGGAGUGAAAUCCGUAGAUAUUAGGAGGAACACCGGUGGCGAAGGCGGCUACCUGGACCGAUAUUGACGCUGAGACGCGAAAGCGUGGGUAGCAAACAGGAUUAGAUACCCUGGUAGUCCACGCCGUAAACGAUGAGUACUAGGUGUCGCGGGUA